UUUUAAUGGUAAAGAAUCUGCCUGCAAUGCAGGAGACCCAGGUUCAAUCCCUGG
rnacentral:tRNA from 1 species